rnacentral:rRNA from 1 species
UACGAGGGGGGCAAGCGUUGUUCGGAAUUAUUGGGCGUAAAGGGCGCGUAGGCGGUGCGGUAAGUCACCUGUGAAAUCUCUGGGCUCAACUCAGAGUCUGCAGGCGAAACUGCCGUGCUGGAGUAUGGGAGAGGUGCGUGGAAUUCCCGGUGUAACGGUGAAAUGCGUAGAUAUCGGAAGGAACAUCAGUGGCGAAAGCGGCUUCCUGGACCAGCACCGACGUUCAGGCACGAAAGCGUGGGGAGCAAACAGG